rnacentral:rRNA from 1 species
GUGGGGAAUUUUGGACAAUGGGCGAAAGCCUGAUCCAGCAAUGCCGCGUGUGUGAAGAAGGCCUUCGGGUUGUAAAGCACUUUUGGCAGGGAAGAAACAGUGCGUGCUAAUACCAUGCGCGAAUGACGGUACCUGCAGAAUAAGCACCGGCUAACUACGUGCCAGCAGCCGCGGUAAUACGUAGGGUGCAAGCGUUAAUCGGAAUUACUGGGCGUAAAGCGUGCGCAGGCGGCUUUGUAAGACGGAUGUGAAAGCCCCGGGCUCAACCUGGGAAGUGCAUUCGUGACUGCAAGGCUAGAGUGUGUCAGAGGGAGGUGGAAUUCCGCGUGUAGCAGUGAAAUGCGUAGAGAUGCGGAUGAACACCGAUGGCGAAGGCAGCCUCCUGGGAUAACACUGACGCUCAGGCACGAAAGCGUGGGGAGCAAACAGGAUUAGAAACCCCUGUAGUCC